CCUACGGGCGGCAGCAGUGAGGAAUAUUGGUCAAUGGGAGAGAGCCUGAACCAGCCAAGCCGCGUGAGGGAAGACGGCCCUAUGGGUUGUAAACCUCUUUUGUCGGAGAACAAAACCCGGGACGUGUCCCGGCCGGCGUGUAUCCGAAGAAAAAGCAUCGGCUAACUCCGUGCCAGCCGCCGCGGUAAUACGGAGGAUGCGAGCGUUAUCCGGAUUUAUUGGGUUUAAAGGGUGCGUAGGCGGGGCGUUAAGUCAGCGGUAAAAUUGCGGGGCUCAACCCCGUCGAGCCGUUGAAACUGGCAGCCUUGAGUUGGCGAGAAGUACGCGGAAUGCGCGGUGUAGCGGUGAAAUGCAUAGAUAUCGCGCAGAACUCCGAUUGCGAAGGCAGCGUACCGGCGCCAGACUGACGCUGAGGCACGAAAGCGUGGGGAUCGAACAGGAUUAGAUACCCCAGUAGUC
rnacentral:rRNA from 1 species